UACGUAGGGUGCAGGCGUUAAUCGGAAUUACUGGGCGUAAAACGUGCGCAGGCGGUUUGCUAAGACAGGUGUGAAAUCCCCGGGCUUAACCUGGGAACUGCGCUUGUAACUGGCAAGCUAGAGUGUGGCAGAGGGGGGGUGGAAUUCCACGUGUAGCAGUGAAAUGCGUAGAGAUGUGGAGGAACACCGAUGGCGAAGGCAGCCCCCUGGGCUAACACUGACGCUCAUGCACGAAAGCGUGGGGAGCAAACAGG
rnacentral:rRNA from 1 species